rnacentral:sRNA from 1 species
AGCGGAAUUCGUGAGACCUUUUUUUUUUGUGGUCUUUUCCAUGUGGAUAUCCUCACAGUAUGGCAUUUAAUACUGUCUAAGAAUUAUCAGAGCUUUUAAUGUUUUCCUUCUCUAAAAAAAUAUGUAUUUACACAUGCCACUGUGUUUUCUUUAUUCCCUCCUUUCUCAGUUCGGUUCAGUUCAGUCAGUUGUGUCUGACCCCAUGAAUCACAGCAUUUCAGGCCUCCCUAUCCAUCACCAACUCCUGGAGUUCACUCAAACUCAUGUCCAUCG